GGGCAAACCGAAGAGUUUACUCUUCGGGGUUGUAGGACUGCAAUGUGGACUCAAAGAUUAUAGAAGAAUGAUUUGGGAAGAUCAGCCAAAGAGAGUAAUAGCCUCGUAUUUAAAAUAGUCUUUGUACCUAGCAGUAUCCUGAGUACGGCGGGACACGUGAAAUCCCGUCGGAAUCUGGGAGGACCAUCUCCCAACCCUAAAUACUCCCUAGUGACCGAUAGUGAACCAGUACCGUGAGGGAAAGGUGAAAAGCACCCCGGGAGGGGAGUGAAAUAGAACCUGAAACCGUGUGCCUACAACAAGUUCGAGCCCGUUAAUGGGUGAGAGCGUGCCUUUUGUAGAAUGAACCGGCGAGUUACGUUAUGAUGCGAGGUUAAGUUGAAGAGACGGAGCCGUAGGGAAACCGAGUCUGAAUAGGGCGCCUUAGUAUCAUGACGUAGACCCGAAACCAUGUGACCUACCCAUGAGCAGGUUGAAGGUGCGGUAAGACGCACUGGAGGACCGAACCAGGGCACGUUGAAAAGUGCUUGGAUGACUUGUGGGUAGCGGAGAAAUUCCAAACGAACUUGGAGAUAGCUGGUUCUCUCCGAAAUAGCUUUAGGGCUAGCGUCGACAUUAGAGAUUCUUGGAGGUAGAGCACUGUUUGGGUGAGGGGUCCAUCCCGGAUUACCAAUCUCAGAUAAACUCCGAAUGCCAAUGAAUUAUGGUCGGCAGUCAGACUGCGAGUGCUAAGAUCCGUAGUCGAAAGGGAAACAGCCCAGACCACCAGCUAAGGUCCCAAAAUAAUUGUUAAGUGGAAAAGGAUGUGGGGUUGCACAGACAACUAGGAUGUUAGCUUAGAAGCAGCUAUUCAUUCAAAGAGUGCGUAAUAGCUCACUAGUCGAGUGACCCUGCGCCGAAAAUGUACCGGGGCUAAAACAAUUUACCGAAGCUGUGGAUACCUUUAUAGGUAUGGUAGGAGAGCGUUCUAUGUGUGAUGAAGGUAUACCGUGAGGAGUGCUGGAACGCAUAGAAGUGAGAAUGCCGGUAUGAGUAGCGAAAGACAGGUGAGAAUCCUGUCCACCGUAAGACUAAGGUUUCCAGGGGAAGGCUCGUCCGCCCUGGGUUAGUCGGGACCUAAGGAGAGACCGAAAGGUGUAUCCGAUGGACAACAGGUUGAUAUUCCUGUACUAGAGUAUGUAGUGAUGGAGGGACGCAGUAGGCUAACUAAAGCAGACGAUUGGAAGAGUCUGUCUAAGCAGUGAGGUGUGAAUUGAGUCAAAUGCUUAAUUCUAUAACAUUGAGCUGUGAUGGGGAGCGAAGUUUAGUAGCGAAGUUAGUGACGUCACACUGCCAAGAAAAGCUUCUAGCGUUUAAACAUACUCUACCCGUACCGCAAACCGACACAGGUAGUCGAGGCGAGUAGCCUCAGGUGAGCGAGAGAACUCUCGUUAAGGAACUCGGCAAAAUGACCCCGUAACUUCGGGAGAAGGGGUGCUGACUUNNNNNNNNNNNNNNNNNNNNNNNNNNNAAGUCAGCCGCAGUGAAUAGGCCCAAGCAACUGUUUAUCAAAAACACAGCUCUCUGCUAAAUCGUAAGAUGAUGUAUAGGGGGUGACGCCUGCCCGGUGCUGGAAGGUUAAGAGGAGUGCUUAGCGUAAGCGAAGGUAUGAAUUGAAGCCCCAGUAAACGGCGGCCGUAACUAUAACGGUCCUAAGGUAGCGAAAUUCCUUGUCGGGUAAGUUCCGACCCGCACGAAAGGCGUAAUGAUUUGGGCACUGUCUCAACGAGAGACUCGGUGAAAUUUUAGUACCUGUGAAGAUGCAGGUUACCCGCGACAGGACGGAAAGACCCCAUGGAGCUUUACUGCAGUUUGAUAUUGAGUGUCUGUACCACAUGUACAGGAUAGGUAGGAGUCUAAGAGAUCGGGACGCCAGUUUCGAAGGAGACGCUGUUGGGAUACUACCCUUGUGUUAUGGCCACUCUAACCCAGAUAGGUGAUCCCUAUCGGAGACAGUGUCUGACGGGCAGUUUGACUGGGGCGGUCGCCUCCUAAAAGGUAACGGAGGCGCCCAAAGGUUCCCUCAGAAUGGUUGGAAAUCAUUCGCAGAGUGUAAAGGUAUAAGGGAGCUUGACUGCGAGAGCUACAACUCGAGCAGGGACGAAAGUCGGGCUUAGUGAUCCGGUGGUUCCGUAUGGAAGGGCCAUCGCUCAACGGAUAAAAGCUACCCUGGGGAUAACAGGCUUAUCUCCCCCAAGAGUUCACAUCGACGGGGAGGUUUGGCACCUCGAUGUCGGCUCGUCGCAUCCUGGGGCUGUAGUCGGUCCCAAGGGUUGGGCUGUUCGCCCAUUAAAGCGGCACGCGAGCUGGGUUCAGAACGUCGUGAGACAGUUCGGUCCCUAUCCGUCGCGGGCGUAGGAAAUUUGAGAGGAUCUGCUCCUAGUACGAGAGGACCAGAGUGGACUUACCGCUGGUGUACCAGUUGUCUUGCCAAAGGCAUCGCUGGGUAGCUAUGUAGGGAAGGGAUAAACGCUGAAAGCAUCUAAGUGUGAAACCCACCUCAAGAUGAGAUUUCCCAUGAUUAUAUAUCAGUAAGAGCCCUGAGAGAUGAUCAGGUAGAUAGGUUAGAAGUGGAAGUGUGGCGACACAUGUAGCGGACUAAUACUAAUAGCUCGAGGACUUAUCCAA
rnacentral:rRNA from 1 species